UACGUAGGGGGCAAGCGUUGUUCGGAAUUACUGGGCGUAAAGCGUGCGCAGGCGGUUCGCCGUGUCCGAUGUGAAAGCCCCGGGCUUAACCUGGGAACGGCAUUGGAAACUGGCGGGCUGGAGUGUGGCAGAGGGGGGUGGAAUUCCACGUGUAGCAGUGAAAUGCGUAGAGAUGUGGAGGAACACCGAUGGCGAAGGCAGCCCCCUGGGCCAACACUGACGCUCAUGCACGAAAGCGUGGGGAGCAAACAGG
rnacentral:rRNA from 1 species